UACGUAGGGUGCAAGCGUUGUCCGGAAUUAUUGGGCGUAAAGAGCUCGUAGGCGGUUUGUCGCGUCUGCUGUGAAAACGCGAGGCUCAACCUCGCGCCUGCAGUGGGUACGGGCGGACUAGAGUGCGGUAGGGGAGAUUGGAAUUCCUGGUGUAGCGGUGGAAUGCGCAGAUAUCAGGAGGAACACCGAUGGCGAAGGCAGAUCUCUGGGCCGUAACUGACGCUGAGGAGCGAAAGCGUGGGGAGCGAACAGG
rnacentral:rRNA from 1 species